rnacentral:lncRNA from 1 species
GCGGCAGAACCACUGAGCUAAAUCCCUGGCCCUCUCAACUUUAUUUUUAAUGAGGCACUGAAGUGCUGCUCCACUCUGUGGGUCUCUCUGCUUCUCUGCUCAGAAGUUGGGGUUGUAGCAGUGAUUUUCAUGUGAGAGAAAUAUAGUCGAUCAUACUUUUGUGUAAGAGAAUGAGCAGUUGGAGAUGCCAUUUCUCUUUCUCCUACUCCCCCACCCUGCCUACUCCCCGUCUCUCUCCAGCUCUGUGUAAUGAUUUUGUACAAUUUUCAUUUCUCACAGUUACUAUAACUGGGCAUUGGCUGCUCCCAUGAUCCUCAGCCUACAGGUUUUCCAGAAGAGUCUGCCAAAGGCCACCGUGGAGUCCUGGGUCAAGGACAAGAUGCCAAAGAAGUCUGGGCGCUGGUGGUUUUGGCGGAAGCGGGAAAGCAUGACCAAGCAGGUAACAGGCCGAGGCAGCCGGGCCCACCAACUAAGAAUGGUGACUCCUUCGUGUACUGCAAACCUCUUGCCGAGCCCUCGCUCGGGCUCGCAGCUGUGCUUUUUCCUGC